UACGUAGGGGGCAAGCGUUGUCCGGAUUUAUUGGGCGUAAAGAGCUCGUAGGCGGAUCGAUCAGUCAGGGGUGAAAUCCCAGGGCUCAACCCUGGAACUGCCUUUGAUACUGUCGAUCUGGAGUAUGGAAGAGGUGAGUGGAAUUCCGAGUGUAGAGGUGAAAUUCGUAGAUAUUCGGAGGAACACCAGUGGCGAAGGCGGCUCACUGGUCCAUUACUGACGCUGAGGUGCGAAAGCGUGGGGAGCAAACAGG
rnacentral:rRNA from 1 species